rnacentral:rRNA from 1 species
AAAGGCGCGCGAUACAGGGUGACAGCCCCGUACACAAAAGCGCAUGUGCUGUGAGCUCGAUGAGUAGGGCGGGACACGUGGUAUCCUGUCUGAAUAUGGGGGGACCAUCCUCCAAGGCUAAAUACUCCUGACUGACCGAUAGUGAACCAGUACCGUGAGGGAAAGGCGAAAAGAACCCCGGCGAGGGGAGUGAAAAAGAACCUGAAACCGUGUACGUACAAGCAGUGGGAGCACAGGUUUACCUGUGUGACUGCGUACCUUUUGUAUAAUGGGUCAGCGACUUAUAUUCUGUAGCAAGGUUAACCGAAUAGGGGAGCCGGAGGGAAACCGAGUCUUAACCGGGCGUUAAGUUGCAGGGUAUAGACCCGAAACCCGGUGAUCUAGCCAUGGGCAGGUUGAAGGUUGGGUAACACUAACUGGAGGACCGAACCGACUAAUGUUGAAAAAUUAGCGGAUGACCUGUGGCUGGGGGUGAAAGGCCAAUCAAACCGGGAGAUAGCUGGUUCUCCCCGAAAGCUAUUUAGGUAGCGCCUCGUGAAUUCAUCUCCGGGGGUAGAGCACUGUUUCGGCUAGGGGGCCAUCCCGGCUUACCAACCCGAUGCAAACUGCGAAUACCGGAGAAUGUUAUCACGGGAGACACACGGCGGGUGCUAACGUCCGUCGUGAAGAGGGAAACAACCCAGACCGCCAGCUAAGGUCCCAAAGUCAUGGUUAAGUGGGAAACGAUGUGGGAAGGCCCAGACAGCCAGGAUGUUGGCUUAGAAGCAGCCAUCAUUUAAAGAAAGCGUAAUAGCUCACUGGUCGAGUCGGCCUGCGCGGAAGAUGUAACGGGGCUAAACCAUGCACCGAAGCUGCGGCAGCGACACUGUGUGUUGUUGGGUAGGGGAGCGUUCUGUAAGCCUGUGAAGGUGUGUCGUGAGGCAUGCUGGAGGUAUCAGAAGUGCGAAUGCUGACAUAAGUAACGAUAAAGCGGGUGAAAAGCCCGCUCGCCGGAAGACCAAGGGUUCCUGUCCAACGUUAAUCGGGGCAGGGUGAGUCGACCCCUAAGGCGAGGCCGAAAGGCGUAGUCGAUGGGAAACGGGUUAAUAUUCCCGUACUUGGUGUUACUGCGAAGGGGGGACGGAGAAGGCUAUGUUGGCCGGGCGACGGUUGUCCCGGUUUAAGCGUGUAGGUGUGUGUUCCAGGUAAAUCCGGUUCACUUUAACACUGAGGCGUGACGACGAGGCACUACGGUGCUGAAGCAACAAAUGCCCUGCUUCCAGGAAAA